AGUGAACGCUGGCGGUAGGCCUAACACAUGCAAGUCGAACGGCAGCACGGUAAGAGCUUGCUCUUACGGGUGGCGAGUGGCGGACGGGUGAGGAAUACAUCGGAAUCUACUUUUUCGUGGGGGAUAACGUAGGGAAACUUACGCUAAUACCGCAUACGACCUACGGGUGAAAGCAGGGGAUCUUCGGACCUUGCGCGAUUGAAUGAGCCGAUGUCGGAUUAGCUAGUUGGCGGGGUAAAGGCCCACCAAGGCGACGAUCCGUAGCUGGUCUGAGAGGAUGAUCAGCCACACUGGAACUGAGACACGGUCCAGACUCCUACGGGAGGCAGCAGUGGGGAAUAUUGGACAAUGGGCGCAAGCCUGAUCCAGCAAUACCGCGUGGGUGAAGAAGGCCUUCGGGUUGUAAAGCCCUUUUGUUGGGAAAGAAAAGCAGCAGGUUAAUACCCCGCUGUUCUGACGGUACCCAAAGAAUAAGCACCGGCUAACUUCGUG
rnacentral:rRNA from 1 species